UACGGAGGGUGCAAGCGUUGUUCGGAAUUAUUGGGCGUAAAGCGCGCGCAGGCGGCUUUUUAAGUCUGAUGUGAAAACCCUCGGCUCAACCGAGGACGUGCAUUGGAUACUGGAAGGCUUGAGUCUCGGAGAGGAAAGCGGAAUUCCCAGUGUAGAGGUGAAAUUCGUAGAUAUUGGGAGGAACACCGGUGGCGAAGGCGGCUUUCUGGACGAUGACUGACGCUGAGGCGCGAAAGCGUGGGUAGCAAAC
rnacentral:rRNA from 1 species